AUCCAGCUGACGAAUCCCAACUAGGGCGAGACGGGCGUCCUGGAU
rfam:Schistosoma curassoni strain Dakar, Senegal genome assembly, scaffold: SCTD_scaffold0001155